GCUUGUCUCAAAGAUUAAGCCAUGCAUGUUCAAGUAUAGCAAGUGUACAGUGAAACUGCGAAUGGCUCAUUAAAUCAGUUAUAAUUUAUUUGAUAGUGAAAUUGUACAUGGAUAACCGUGGCAAUUCUAGGGCUAAUACAUGCGUCAAUGGUCGGUCGACCAGUAUUUAUUAGAUACAAAGCCAACGCUGGGUAAAACCAGUUUCCCUUGGUGAUUCAUAAUAAUUAAGCGGAUCGCAUGGCCUUGUGCUAGCGACAGUCCACUCGAUUUUCUGCCCUAUCAUGGUUGAGAUUGUAAGAUAGAGGCUUACAAUGCCUACAACGGGUAACGGGGAAUUAGGGUUCGAUUCCGGAGAGGGAGCCUGAGAAACGGCUACCACAUCCAAGGAAGGCAGCAGG
rnacentral:rRNA from 1 species